GAUGAACGCUGGCGGCGUGCUUAACACAUGCAAGUCGAACGGAAAGGCCCAAGCUUGCUUGGGUGCUCGAGUGGCGAACGGGUGAGUAACACGUGGGUGAUCUGCCCUGCACUUUGGGAUAAGCCUGGGAAACUGGGUCUAAUACCGGAUAGGACCAUCGUUUAGUGUCGGUGGUGGAAAGUUUUUCGGUGUGGGAUGAGCUCGCGGCCUAUCAGCUUGUUGGUGGGGUAAUGGCCUACCAAGGCGUCGACGGGUAGCCGGCCUGAGAGGGUGUACGGCCACAUUGGGACUGAGAUACGGCCCAGACUCCUACGGGAGGCAGCAGUGGGGAAUAUUGCACAAUGGGCGCAAGCCUGAUGCAGCGACGCCGCGUGGGGGAUGACGGACUUCGGGUUGUAAACUCCUUUCGCCAAGGACGAAGCGUUUUGUGACGGUACUUGGAGAAGAAGCACCGGCUAACUACGUG
rnacentral:rRNA from 1 species